rnacentral:rRNA from 1 species
UGGGGAAUUUUGGACAAUGGGCGCAAGCCUGAUCCAGCCAUGCCGCGUGCAGGAUGAAGGCCUUCGGGUUGUAAACUGCUUUUGUACGGAACGAAAAGACUCCUUCUAAUAAAGGGGGUCCAUGACGGUACCGUAAGAAUAAGCACCGGCUAACUACGUGCCAGCAGCCGCGGUAAUACGUAGGGUGCAAGCGUUAAUCGGAAUUACUGGGCGUAAAGCGUGCGCAGGCGGUUAUGCAAGACAGAGGUGAAAUCCCCGGGCUCAACCUGGGAACUGCGUUUGUGACUGCAUAACUAGAGUACGGCAGAGGGAGGUGGAAUUCCGCGUGUAGCAGUGAAAUGCGUAGAUAUGCGGAGGAACACCGAUGGCGAAGGCAAUCCCCUGGACCUGUACUGACGCUCAUGCACGAAAGCGUGGGGAGCAAACA